rnacentral:tRNA from 1 species
GUGGGUAUAGCUCAGUGGUAGAGCACAUGCCUAGCAUGCACGAGGUCCUGGGUUCCAUCUGCAGUACCUCCA